UACGUAGGGGGCGAGCGUUGUCCGGAUUUAUUGGGCGUAAAGAGCUCGUAGGUGGUUUGGUUAGUCGGAUGUGAAAUCUCCAGGCUCAACUUGGAGGGGUCAUCCGAUACUGCCAUGACUAGAGUUCGGUAGAGGAGUGUGGAAUUCCUGGUGGAGCGGUGAAAUGCGCAGAGAUCAGGAGGAACACCCGUAGCGAAGGCGGCACUCUGGGCCGAUACUGACACUGAGGAGCGAAAGCGUGGGGAGCGAACAGG
rnacentral:rRNA from 1 species